rnacentral:rRNA from 1 species
UACGGAAGGCAGCAGUGGGGAAUAUUGCACAAUGGGCGCAAGCCUGAUGCAGCCAUGCCGCGUGUAUGAAGAAGGCCUUCGGGUUGUAAAGUACUUUCAGCGGGGAGGAAGGCGGUGAAGUUAAUAGCUUCACCGAUUGACGUUACCCGCAGAAGAAGCACCGGCUAACUCCGUGCCAGCAGCCGCGGUAAUACGGAGGGUGCAAGCGUUAAUCGGAAUUACUGGGCGUAAAGCGCACGCAGGCGGUCUGUCAAGUCGGAUGUGAAAUCCCCGGGCUUAACCUGGGAACUGCAUUCGAAACUGGCAGGCUAGAGUCUUGUAGAGGGGGUAGAAUUCCAGGUGUAGCGGUGAAAUGCGUAGAGAUCUGGAGGAAUACCGGUGGCGAAGGCGGCCCCUGGGACAAAGCUGACGCUCAGGUGCGAAAGCGUGGGGAGCAAACGAGGAUUAGGAUA